GACGAACGCUGGCGGCGUGCCUAAUACAUGCAAGUCGUACGAACAGACCCUCUGAUUAUGAAGCGCUUGCACCGAUUAUGAUUAGGAUUUUCUGUUAGUGGCGAACGGGUGAGUAACACGUGGGUAACCUGCCCCUUAGUUGAGGAUAACUAUUGGAAACGAUAGCUAAUACUGAAUACGAGGUGAGUUUGCAUGAACAUACAUUGAAAGAAGCGUUUGCUUCGCUAAGGGAUGGACCUGCGGUGCAUUAGCUAGUUGGUAAGGUAAUGGCUUACCAAGGCAAUGAUACGUAGCCGAACUGAGAGGUUGAUCGGCCACAUUGGGACUGAGACACGGCCCAAACUCCUACGGGAGGCAGCAGUAGGGAAUCUUCCACAAUGGACGAAAGUCUGAUGGAGCAACGCCGCGUGAGUGAAGAAGGUUUUCGGAUCGUAAAACUCUGUUGUCAGAGAAGAACGUGUGCGAGAGUGACUGUUCGUGCAGUGACGGUAUCUGGCCAGAAAGCCACGGCUAACUACGUGCCAGCCGCCGCCGUAA
rnacentral:rRNA from 1 species